rnacentral:rRNA from 1 species
UACGGAGGGGGCUAGCGUUGUUCGGAAUUACUGGGCGUAAAGCGCACGUAGGCGGCUUUGUAAGUUAGAGGUGAAAGCCCGAGGCUCAACUCCGGAAUUGCCUUUAAGACUGCAUCGCUAGAAUUGUGGAGAGGUAAGUGGAAUUCCGAGUGUAGAGGUGAAAUUCGUAGAUAUUAGGAAGAACACCAGUGGCAGGAAGG